UUCCUACGGGAGGCAGCAGUGGGGAAUAUUGCACAAUGGGGGAAACCCUGAUGCAGCGACGCCGCGUGAGCGAAGAAGUAUUUCGGUAUGUAAAGCUCUAUCAGCAGGGAAGAAAAAUGACGGUACCUGAGUAAGAAGCACCGGCUAAAUACGUGCCAGCAGCCGCGGUAAUACGUAUGGUGCAAGCGUUAUCCGGAUUUACUGGGUGUAAAGGGAGCGCAGGCGGUGCGGCAAGUCUGAUGUGAAAGCCCGGGGCUCAACCCCGGGACUGCUCUGGAAACUGUAUGGUUGGAGUGCAGGAGGGG
rnacentral:rRNA from 1 species